GGAGAGAUGGCUCAGUGGUUAAGAGCACUGGCUGCUCUUCCAGAAGAUCUGGGUUCAAAUCCCAGCACCC
rnacentral:tRNA from 1 species